rnacentral:rRNA from 1 species
AUUGAACGCUGGCGGCAGGCUUAACACAUGCAAGUCGAGCGAGUGGCGGACGGGUGAGUAAUGCUUGGGACUCUGGCUGAUGGAGGGGGAUAACGACGGGAAACUGUCGCUAAUCCCGCGUACCAUAGGAUGAGCCCAGGUGGGAUUAGGUAGUGGGUGGGGUAAUGGCUUACCAAGACGACGAUCUCUAGCUGGUCUGAGAGGAUGACCAGCCACACUGGAACUGAGACACGGCCCAGACUCCUACGGGAGGCAGCAGUGGGGAAUAUUGCGCAAUGGGGGCAAGCUGAUGCAGCCAUGCCGCGUGAAUGAAGAAGGCCUUCGGGUUGUAAAGCACUUUCGGUGAGGAGGCGUUACUCACAGAAGAAGCACCGGCUAACUCCGUGCCAGCCGCCGCGGUAAUUC